UCAAACUUAUGAAUUAAAAGACAUGAUGGCACCAAUGAACGAAGACAAAAUCCACAAUGCCAAGAACACAAUGGCAACAUGAUGUAUGAUAGACCUCAGUCAUAUCCAUCCCUUCUACCGAAGCACAAACCACAUUAAUUAUACUAACACUCAAUAACAACUUAUAAGUUACAACUACCCCUUCCACACAAUUAACCAAAUUGAAUCACAGAAUACUUAAACCUCAGACCUUUCAUUCCCUGUCCACUACUAUCAUUCAAUUCUUUCAAUGAAUCAUGCAUAUACCUAUCAAAUACAGUAUAUAUAUAUAUAUAUUAAAAAAAAAUCCACGAGAUACAGAACCAGUGUUCCAUUGAAGAAUCGACAAAAGACUUAAUAAAUCCAUACCUAUUCUUCUUCUCUUUUUCCAAUCAAGCAGAAUAGUAAGCUCUCUGAUUUCAAAUUGUUUUCAUAUCAGAUUUUUGAAGACAUCAGAUGCUUAAGAUGAUUCAUUGCCACAAUAUUAAUAACAAGGGUAUCCUCUUACUUGAUUUCUUGCAUGAAGAGCAUCUUCAGAAGAAAAAAAAAGCUCAACCUCAACAGGAAUACAAACUUCAGCAUCAGAGAAUAGCAAAGACAGUAAUAUUUGCCCUAAGUCAUUGGUGUGGACAUUUGAAACAAAAAUCAGAUGACGAGAGCCCAAGCAUCAUAACUAUUAAACGGAAAGUAAACAGAUAUGCUGAGCCAUCCAGUUCAAUUGAUUAAUUCUGCCUUCUCCCCGACGGGUUCAUCAAUAAUUAAAUUAGUUGCAGAACGCGAUCUAUCAGAGCUGCAUCCAUCUAAAUAUCCAUGCAAAACACAGGACGCUUGCCACGUGAAGUGAA